CCUGGCGGCAAUAGAGCUUUGGAACCACCUGAUCCCAUACCGAACUCAGCAGUGAAACGAGGCAUCGCCGAUGGUAGUGCGGGAGUUCCCGUGCGAGAGUAGGUCACUGCCAGGC
rnacentral:rRNA from 1 species